UUCCCUUCGGGGACAUUGGUGACAGGUGGUGCAUGGUUGUCGUCAGCUCGUGUCGUGAGAUGUUGGGUUAAGUCCCGCAACGAGCGCAACCCUUGUCUUUAGUUGCCAUCAUUAAGUUGGGCACUCUAGAGAGACUGCCAGGGAUAACCUGGAGGAAGGUGGGGAUGACGUCAAAUCAUCAUGCCCCUUAUGCUUAGGGCUACACACGUGCUACAAUGGGUAGUACAGAGGGUUGCCAAGCCGUAAGGUGGAGCUAAUCCCUUAAAGCUACUCUCAGUUCGGAUUGUAGGCUGAAACUCGCCUACAUGAAGCUGGAGUUACUAGUAAUCGCAGAUCAGAAUGCUGCGGUGAAUGCGUUCCCGGGUCUUGUACACACCGCCCGUCACACCACGGGAGUUGGAGACGCCCGAAGCCGACUAUCUAACCUUUUGGAAGAAGUCGUCGAAGGUGGAAUCAAUAACUGGGGUGAAGUCGUAACAAGGUAGCCGUAUCGGAAGGUGCGGCUGGAUCACCUCCUUUCUAAGGA
rnacentral:rRNA from 1 species